GACGAACGCUGGCGGCGUGCCUAAUACAUGCGAGUAGAACGCUGAAGAGAGGAGCUUGCUCUUCUUGGAUGAGUUGCGCACGGGUGAGUAACGCGUAGGUAACCUGCCUUGUAGCGGGGGAUAACUAUUGGAAACGAUAGCUAAUACCGCAUAACAAUGGAUGACACAUGUCAUUUAUUUGAAAGGGGCAAUUGCUCCACUACAAGAUGGACCUGCGUUGUAUUAGCUAGUAGGUGAGGUAAUGGCUCACCUAGGCGACGAUACAUAGCCGACCUGAGAGGGUGAUCGGCCACACUGGGACUGAGACACGGCCCAGACUCCUACGGGAGGCAGCAGUAGGGAAUCUUCGGCAAUGGGGGCAACCCUGACCGAGCAACGCCGCGUGAGUGAAGAAGGUUUUCGGAUCGUAAAGCUCUGUUGUAAGUCAAGAACGGGUGUGAGAGUGGAAAGUUCACACUGUGACGGUAGCUUACCAGAAAGGGACGGCUAACUACGUG
rnacentral:rRNA from 1 species